GUGCUUGCUUCAGAAGCAUGUACACUAAAGCUGAAAUGAUACAAAGAAUUAGCAUUUCCUCUAAGUGAAGAUGACAUGCAAAUUCUAGAAGUGCUCCACAUUUUA
ensembl:snRNA U6 U6 spliceosomal RNA